rnacentral:rRNA from 1 species
UACAUGUGGGGCAAGCGUUGUUCGGAAUUACUGGGCAUAAAGGGUGCGUAGGCGGCAUGUUAAGUCAGGGGUGAAAUCCCACGGCCCAACCGUGGAACUGCCUUUGAUACUGGCGUGCUUGAGUGCGUGAGGGGUAACCGGAACGAGUCGUGUAGCGGUGAAAUGCGUAGAUAUGACUCGGAAGGCCAAAGGCGAAGGCAGGUUACUGGUACGCAACUGACGCUGAGGCACGAAAGCGUGGGGAGCAAACAGG